rnacentral:rRNA from 1 species
AUUGAACGCUGGCGGCAUGCCUUACACAUGCAAGUCGAACGGCAGCACGGGAGCAAUCCUGGUGGCGAGUGGCGAACGGGUGAGUAAUAUAUCGGAACGUGCCCAGUCGUGGGGAUAACGUAGCGAAAGCUACGCUAAUACCGCAUACGAUCUAUGGAUGAAAGCGGGGGGAGUCGCAAGACCUCGCGCGAUUGGAGCGGCCGAUAUCAGAUUAGGUAGUUGGUGAGGUAAAGGCUCACCAAGCCGACGAUCUGUAGCUGGUCUGAGAGGACGACCAGCCACACUGGGACUGAGACACGGCCCAGACUCCUACGGAGGCAGCAGUGGGGAAUUUUUGGACAAUGGGCGCAAGCCUGAUCCAGCAAUGCCGCGUGCAGGAUGAAGGCCU